rnacentral:rRNA from 1 species
GCAAGUCGAACGGUAACAGGUCCUUCGGGAUGCUGACGAGUGGCAAACGGGUGCGUAACACGUGGAUACUUGCCCUAAAGUGGGGGACAACAGAUGGAAACGUCUGCUAAUACCGCAUAAGCUCUACGGAGCAAAGGCCUUCGGGUCGCUUUAGGAGAGGUCUGCGUCGGAUUAGCUAGUUGGUGAGGUAACGGCUCACCAAGGCAUCGACGGGUAGCUGGUCUGAGAGGAUGAUC